rnacentral:ncRNA from 1 species
UCCAUGUGCUUCACAGACAACAGAAAUCUCCAGUGGAACAAAACAGUAACAGUCCCCUUGAUUUUGAUUUUCAGUGUGAAUACAAACUAUGAAAGCAUGG